GAUGAACGCUGGCGGCGUGCCUAAUACAUGCAAGUCGAGCGAACGGACGAGAAGCUUGCUUCUCUGAUGUUAGCGGCGGACGGGUGAGUAACACGUGGAUAACCUACCUAUAAGACUGGGAUAACUUCGGGAAACCGGAGCUAAUACCGGAUAAUAUUUUGAACCGCAUGGUUCAAAAGUGAAAGACGGUCUUGCUGUCACUUAUAGAUGGAUCCGCGCUGCAUUAGCUAGUUGGUAAGGUAACGGCUUACCAAGGCAACGAUGCAUAGCCGACCUGAGAGGGUGAUCGGCCACACUGGAACUGAGACACGGUCCAGACUCCUACGGGAGGCAGCAGUAGGGAAUCUUCCGCAAGGGGAGAAAGCCUGACGGAGCAACGCCGCGUGAGUGAUGAAGGUCUUCGGAUCGUAAAACUCUGUUAUUAGGGAAGAACAUAUGUGUAAGUAACUGUGCACAUCUUGACGGUACCUAAUCAGAAAGCCACGGCUAACUACGUG
rnacentral:rRNA from 1 species